GGGGUAAUAGUUAAUAAUAACAUUUAAUUUGCACUUAAAAAGUAUUGCCAAAGCAAUUUACCUUG
rnacentral:tRNA from 1 species